UACGUAGGGGGCAAGCGUUGUCCGGAAUCAUUGGGCGUAAAGCGCGUGUAGGCGGCUCGAUAAGUCUGCUGUGAAAGUUCAGGGCUCAACCCUGAAAUGCCGGUGGAAACUGUCGAGCUAGAGUCCGGAAGAGGCGAGUGGAAUUCCUGGUGUAGCGGUGAAAUGCGCAGAUAUCAGGAGGAACACCAAUGGCGAAGGCAGCUCGCUGGGACGGUACUGACGCUGAGACGCGAAAGCCAGGGGAGCGAACGGG
rnacentral:rRNA from 1 species